rnacentral:rRNA from 1 species
AUUGAACGCUGGCGGCAGGCUUAACACAUGCAAGUCGAGCGAGCGGCGGACGGGUGAGUAAUGUCUGGGAAACUGCCUGAUGGAGGGGGAUAACUACUGGAAACGGUAGCUAAUACCGCAUACCAUCAGAUGUGCCCAGAGGGGAUUAGGUAGUGGGUGGGGUAAAGGCUCACCAAGCCGAAGAUCUCUAGCUGGUCUGAGAGGAUGACCAGCCACACUGGGACUGAGACACGGCCCAGACUCCUACGGGAGGCAGCAGUGGGGAAUAUUGCGCAAUGGGGGCAACCCUGACGCAGCAAUGCCGCGUGAGUGAAGAAGGCCUUCGGGUUGUAAAGUUCUUUCGGUAGCGAGGCGUUAACUACAGAGGAAGCACCGGCUAACUCCGUGCCAGCCGCCGCGGUAAUAC